GCCUGGAUAGCUUGGUCGGUUGGAGCGUGGUGUUGAGAACGCCAAGGUUUCAGGUUCAAUCCCCGUAUGGGACA